UUCCUUCUUGACCGUUACUCGAACUGGCCGAGGACCCCGGCGCCUCGUCUGAGGGAGCCUGUCCGGCCUCGGAUCUCCGCCGCGACUCCUCCCGGGCCGCGGCCACACCCGCUCGGCGCGCCGGGGAGCCUGGCCCGUGCUGGCCCCGGGCAAACGCCGGAGGGCCCGCCAGUGCCUGCCCUCACGGGGCGAACGCCCUGGGUGAAGGGAACCAGCAAAACCGAGAAAACAGACGAACUCCUCUGUGAGUUAUGUAUAUGCUUUAAAGGAUACCACGCGGGGCUACGGCGAAGAGUAACAGGUUGGCGGACUGGCGUUGGUGGCCCGACGGUCUUGUUUCCUCUCCUCACCCGCCGCCGCGCUCCCUGCCGCGCGGGCUUCCCGCCGUCUCCGGGGCGUCCGAGCACCGGCCCUCCCCCACCCCCACCCCAGCUGGCGACUCGGACGCCGCAUCCUUAUGAGACCUUUUCGGGGAGCCUUCUUGGUCAGCUGUUCCCGUCCCCUUCUCGGUUCUUUCCUGCAUGGUCCUUCCUUCGCUGUUCACCUCGCCUGACGCCGUAGUUAUCUGUGUGUGAGCACAACACCCCCAGGAAGACUGUUGUCAAGGAUUUUAAUACUCAACAGUACAAACCAACACUGAAAACAGUAGCUGGUUAUAAAGUAAUCAAAUGAUCAUUAUCAUAGUUACAUGAAAAGAGGUUGAGAACAAUAUGGCUCUUGGAUGACUGGCGCGCCAGGCUUCACCACUGCAGAGGAGUGAACCUGAGCUGCUGUUUCCAACACAACAUGGUGGCCAAAGGAAGAUAAGAGUAAUCUCGAUAGCCCUUCCCACCUUCAGGGAAGGGCAGAAAUAUCUGUGUACGAAUCUCAAACUGCUUCACUCCACGGAAACUUUUUUUUCCCCAUCGGAAACAGGCUGGGACACGAUUAAGCAAUACUGUCGGGUUGGGUCAAAGCGUCUGAAGGAAAAAGCUGCUCAUGCUCUAUCCCCCUAAAGGGGAUACAUGGCAACAAAAGGGAAAUGACACAUUUGAGACCAGGAGGGGGAGGAGAGAAAAGGCCUUCUUCCAUGAAUGAGGUCUUUCCUGAGGGCUUUAGGUAGAAGGCCAUCAAAUCAAGUUGUAGAUACCCCUGGAAACUCUCAAAAGAAAGCAGUGACUGUCAGUUUAGAAGGCUUGGGGUCCCUCUUAGUCAAAGAUGCCCAGAAUAAGCCAGAGCCUUCCCCUCAAGAAUUCAGGAACGUGGUUUCCAAUGCAAAUAAAGACUACAUUGUAGACAUA